CCCUACGGGACGCAGCAGUGAGGAAUAUUGGUCAAUGGGCUAAGGCCUGAACCAGCCAAGUCGCGUGAGGGAAGACGGUCCUAUGGAUUGUAAACCUCUUUUGUCGGGGAGCAACGAGGCCACGUGUGGCCGAAGUGAGAGUACCCGAAGAAAAAGCAUCGGCUAACUCCGUGCCAGCAGCCGCGGUAAUACGGAGGAUGCGAGCGUUAUCCGGAUUUAUUGGGUUUAAAGGGUGCGGAGGCGGCGCUUCAGGUCAGCGGUGAAAUACCGGGGCGCAACCCCGGGGCUGCCGUUGAAACCG
rnacentral:rRNA from 1 species